rnacentral:lncRNA from 1 species
UUCUUCUCCGACGAGACCUACCAGAAACCAUUGCCACCGUCGCCUUUUCUCCGACGAGACCUACCAUAAGCGCCACCAUCAUAAAUCAAACCAAAACCAACUACCACCAUCAAACCAAAACCAACCACCAAAAAUUACAGCAUAUUCUAACCUCGAAAUCAAUUUUCUAAUUUCAAUCACAGUUGAUGGCAAAAUUUCUUCCAAAUAUUCACCUUAACACCAGAUCCGAAUGGUACAUUUUCUUUUAAAAAGCAAGAUAUCCCAUCCUGAUUAAAACCCAAUUAGAAUAGAGGGGAUCAAACACACUCUUCACAGCCAAAGGACUUGUCAAAGUGUAGAGGUACUGUAACUGAAGACCCCUUGAAAUAUGCAGCCAUUUCAAAACCAAGCAAGAGUAAAGAUAGCCAGAGGAAGACUUUAAUGUAGGAGUAAAAUUGAGACUUGACCGUCGGGUUUUCGAUCUCAGGUGGUGUCGAUGGAGUCAGUGCAGCCGGAGGCGACGUGACGGCGUAUGACAGAGGUAAGGGAGAAGAAUGUGGAUGCAAUGGAAGUGAGGUAGCCUGCCUUGUGGGCUUUCAAGAGGAGAACCCAUGUUAACUGCUUGGCGUUCUUGUUCCGGCCUCCUUUGGGAAGAUUCCAACACAAAUUUGAACGAUACAAUUUCUUUAGAAGAUUUUUGUCUCCAAUUGCUAGGGCUUGUUGCUACUAUCCAUUUUCUUUUAGGGUUCGAAAAUGCGGAUGGUGUUUGAGGUGUAGCCUAUUUCCGAAGGUGGAGGUGGGGAUGAUUUCCGUUAGCUGUUGUUGGAGAAGAAAGACCCCAUUGGAUUUUGAUUUG